rnacentral:rRNA from 1 species
UACGGGGGGGAGCAAGCGUUGUUCGGAUUUACUGGGCGUAAAGGGCGCGUAGGCGGCCACCGCAAGUCGACUGUGAAAUCUCCGGGCUUAACCCGGAACGGUCAGCCGAUACUGCGGGGCUAGAGUGCAGAAGGGGCAACUGGAAUUCUCGGUGUAGCGGUGAAAUGCGUAGAUAUCGAGAGGAACACCUGCGGCGAAGGCGACUACCUGGCCUGUUUCUUGACGCUGAGGCGCGAAAGCUAGGGGAGCAAACGGG